rnacentral:rRNA from 1 species
CCUACGGGGGGCAGCAGUGAGGAAUAUUGGUCAAUGGACGAGAGUCUGAACCAGCCAAGUAGCGUGAAGGAUGACUGCCCUAUGGGUUGUAAACUUCUUUUAUAUGGGAAUAAAAUGUUCCACGUGUGGGAUUUUGUAUGUACCAUAUGAAUAAGGAUCGGCUAACUCCGUGCCAGCAGCCGCGGUAAUACGGAGGAUCCGAGCGUUAUCCGGAUUUAUUGGGUGUAAAGGGAGCGUAGGUGGAUUGUUAAGUCAGUUGUGAAAGUUUGCGGCUCAACCGUAAAAUUGCAGUUGAAACUGGCAGUCUUGAGUACAGUAGAGGUGAGCGGAAUUCGUGGUGUAGCGGUGAAAUGCUUAGAUAUCACGAAGAACACCGAUUGCGAAGGCAGUUCACUGGACUGCAACUGACACUGAGGCUCGAAAGUGUGGGUAUCAAACAGGAUUAGAUACCCCAGUAGUC